UAGUCCACGCCGUAAACGAUGGAUACUAGCUGUUCGGAUUUCGAUCUGAGUGGCCAAGCGAAAGUGAUAAGUAUCCCACCUGGGGAGUACGUUCGCAAGAAUGAAACUCAAAGGAAUUGACGGGGGCCCGCACAAGCGGUGGAGCAUGUGGUUUAAUUCGAUGAUACGCGAGGAACCUUACCAGGGCUUAAAUGGGAAUUGACAGGUUUAGAGAUAGACUUUUCUUCAGACAAUUUUCAAGGUGCUGCAUGGUUGUCGUCAGCUCGUGCCGUGAGGUGUCAGGUUAAGUCCUAUAACGAGCGCAACCCCUGUUGUUAGUUGCCAUCACGUAAAGGUGGGGACUCUAGCAAGACUGCCGGUGCAAACCGUGAGGAAGGUGGGGAUGACGUCAAAUCAUCACGGGCCCUUACGUCCUGGGGCUACACACGUGCUACAAUAGUUUUUCAAAAAGUAAGCAAAAAAUGU
rnacentral:rRNA from 1 species